AGAGUUUGAUCCUGGCUCAGAUUGAACGCUGGCGGUAUGCUUAACACAUGCAAGUCGAACGGAAACGAAACUAGCUUGCUAGUAGGCGUCGAGUGGCGGACGGGUGAGUAACGCGUAGGAAUCUGCCUGAUAGUGGGGGAUAGCCCGAAGAAAUUCGGAUUAAUACCGCAUAAUCUAUUCGUAGUAAAGUGGGGGACUUUCGAGCCUCACGCUAUCAGAUGAGCCUGCGUAAGAUUAGCUAGUUGGUAGGGUAAAAGCCUACCAAGGCAACGAUCUUUAGCUGGUCUGAGAGGAUGAUCAGCCACAUCGGGACUGAGACACGGCCCGAACUCCUACGGGAGGCAGCAGUGGGGAAUAUUGGACAAUGGGGGCAACCCUGAUCCAGCAAUACCGCGUGUGUGAAGAAGGCCUGAGGGUUGUAAAGCACUUUCAAUUGUGAAGAAAAGUUAACGGUUAAUAACCGUUAGCCUUGACGUUAACUUUAGAAGAAGCACCGGCUAACUAUGUGCCAGCAGCCGCGGUAAUACGGAGGGUGCAAGCGUUAAUCGGAAUUACUGGGCGUAAAGCGUGCGUAGGCGGUUUAUUAAGUCAGAUGUGAAAGCCCCGGGCUUAACCUGGGAACUGCAUUUGAAACUGGUCAACUAGAGUAUGGUAGAGGAAAGUGGAAUUUCUGGUGUAGCGGUGAAAUGCGUAGAUAUCAGAAGGAACAUCAAUGGCGAAGGCAGCUUUCUGGACCAAUACUGACGCUGAGGUACGAAAGCGUGGGUAGCAAACAGGAUUAGAUACCCUGGUAGUCCACGCCGUAAACGAUGAUAACUAGCCGUUGGGGGGAUUUACCCUUUAGUGGCGAAGCUAACGCGUUAAGUUAUCCGCCUGGGGAGUACGGCCGCAAGGCUAAAACUCAAAGGAAUUGACGGGGACCCGCACAAGCGGUGGAGCAUGUGGUUUAAUUCGAUGCAACGCGAAGAACCUUACCUGGUCUUGACAUCCUGCGAACUUUCUAGAAAUAGAUUGGUGCCUUCGGGAACGCAGUGACAGGUGCUGCAUGGCUGUCGUCAGCUCGUGUCGUGAGAUGUUGGGUUAAGUCCCGUAACGAGCGCAACCCCUAUCUUUAUUUGCCAGCACAUUAUGGUGGGAACUAUAAGGAGACUGCCGGUGAUAAACCGGAGGAAGGCGGGGACGACGUCAAGUCAUCAUGGCCCUUACGACCAGGGCUACACACGUGCUACAAUGGGAAGGACAAAGAGCCGCGAAGCCGCGAGGUGUAGCUAAUCUCAUAAAUCUUUUCGUAGUCCGGAUUGGAGUCUGCAACUCGACUCCAUGAAGUCGGAAUCGCUAGUAAUCGUAGAUCAGAAUGCUACGGUGAAUACGUUCCCGGGUCUUGUACACACCGCCCGUCAUACCAUGGGAGUGGGUUGCACCAGAAGUGGCUAGUCUAACUUUGUGAGGACGGUCACCACGGUGUGAUUCAUGACUGGGGUAAAGUCGUAACAAGGUAACC
rnacentral:rRNA from 1 species